CAUCACAGCCCAAAGUGCCAGUUCUGGCUCCACACACAUCUCCUUGGAGGUAAAUAUGUUGAAGAUUGGACGGUGAGAGAUCAACAUCUAAACUCGAAAGAGGCAUCAGUUUCCCAGCCAUUCAAGGAAUUGGACCCAGAUAGGCAAGGAUACUGACCACUAUUCUAAUGAAGAAGACAUUCACUACCUGAGGGAACAAUUCAACAUGAGAUCAUCUAACUACAGCAACACACAUCAAACAGAAGAUUUGGGCACUCCUGAAGUCUGCAAAAUAUCUCUCUGUCAUUCUGGACUGUAUACUUGACAUGAGUCCAACUGAACAAAUGACUUUAAUAGCGUGUUUUGUAAGAGCAACAGAAUCUAGCACAACUGUACAUGCUAUAAUGCAUGCCAGAGAAUAUUUCCUGGAAAUCUUUGACACCAGUGUGUUAAGACAGACCUCCUUCUUGUCCCAAUUAACACCUGAGGGUGUCUAAGGCGGAACCAGGACUGUGGGUCUAGAUUGAUGAUACCAGAACCAAAGAGGAAAAGGCAUUUUUUUAAAAAUGGAAGUUGAGUGUCGGCCAGGACCUUUACUCUCCCUCACCUGCUAAUAAUGGGCUACAAAGGUCUUUGUGGAAUUCAGUGACCUGAGAAGAUAAUGAGAAAGCUAAGCUCAGUGACACUUAAACAUGGUAUGCAUAUGCAAAAUAGCCUUUUCUAAAUUGAAUGCUAAUUCAGGGAACACUCCUCAGAUGAAGCAAUCUCAUCUGCACUGUUAUUUAUUGCAAAUAUCCCUUAGUUAAUGUGAUUCAAUUAUUUUUGUAGGAAACCUGCAACUCCUAAUUAAAUGAUGGCCAGAAGCUAAGACUAAGUUCCUGACCAGCAAGAAGUAGACUUGAGACUAAAAGAGGAACUGGUUUCCUCCCCACCUCUGCACAACAAUAGGGCAGGCUCAACCAGACCAUCCUUGAAGGGAGUUACCGGUUCACACCCUCGCCCUGCUGAAUACAAUAGAGCUAGAAUCUAUUCAAUUCUCUUGUUACUUCCAAUCAGUUACAAAUCAGUUUUGGGUAUAAGAAUCCCAGCUUAGAGGCAGCACUUUGAGCAGUCUAAUCAGGAGGAGAGCUGGUCUUGUGGUAGCGAGCAUGACUUGCCCCUGUUGCUAAACAGGGUCCACCCUGGUUCACAUUUGAAUGGGAGAUAUGUGUGAGCACUGUAAGAUAUUCCCCUCAGGGGAUGGAGCUGCUCCAGGAUGAGCAUCCACAUGCUUGCAUGAAGAAGGUUCCAAGUUCCCUCCCUGGCAUCUCCAAGAUAGGGCUAAGAGAUUCCUGCCAGCAACCUUGGAGAAGCUGCUGCCAGUCUGUGUAAAUGAUACUGAGCUAUAUGGACCAAUGGUCUGACUCAGUAUAAGACAGCUUCCUACAUUCCUGCGUAGGACACCCAGAGAGAGAAUGUUGCAGACUUGUUUCCAGAGAUCGUGGCUGCACAGAAUAGAUCUCUGAGGUGAAGUAAGCAUAUAGUUCCAUUCGAAAAUUGUGCAUGAGUAACUAGGGCUGAUCUUACACAAUGAAGAUCCAUAUUCAUAAAUAGGCACCUUCAUCCAUGCUGAGCCAGUGAGUAAAGCUCUCUGAGCUAUCUGAACUGUUUCCUCACUCCUUUUCUUGCUAACUUUCUCUAUUACAGCAACCAGUGAAGCCCCUCUUGAGGUCACCUACCUCUGCUCUCAAACCCGAACCCUGUUCACUUAGUCAUGUAACUGCUGCAAAUGAUAUACACCUGGUCUAGCAAAACCACUACAGUGCAUUUUCAUAUUUUGCCUAUUCCCGCCAGUCUUAGCAAUCAAUCUCUCCCUUUCAAUUCAUUAUUUUCUCUGUCAUUCUAUUUCUCGAUUCUCUCUCCUAUCUUUUCUUCAUUACUAUCUGUUCUAGGAUCCAUCUCUCUUGUAGUCUCUAUAAUUGCCAGCCACUUUAGUCAGUAUUAAUGGAAACAGCUAGGUCGAUUCUCUAGGAGUUCUACCUGGAACUCAAUGGUUUUUCUUGCUUGAAUGUUUAGUUUUGCUCUACCAAAUGCUCUACAGAAUGGUUUUUAUUGUUAAUUUGAUUAUCUAUUUUUGCUAAUUUCCUAAUCAGAGUGUAUGUUUUGAUUCUCUUUUUAAAAAUUUGAAUAUUUUGCAUUAAAAUUAUGUCUCACC